CGUCAUUGGAAGCCAAGCCUGCAUUUCCCACAGACAUUGCGGUAUUGAAGCGGGAAAUUCUGUUCCAAGCGGGAGCCGAGGAUGGAUCAGGAUUGGUGUCUAUCCGCCUGACAGACGUGGAAUCUGAAAGGAUUCCCUUCAUCUGAGGAAGCCAGUUCUCAUCCAAAGGAUCCACCUCACACAAGUCCAGGAACUCUAGGGAGCCACGUCGAACAUGGACCUCAGAGAUACACAGCCGGGGGACAACGGAACUGAGGCAUGUAUUCUCCACUCCAGUCAGUAGUAGAAGGCUUUUCUGCAGUGGGGAAUGGAACCCAGGCCAAGUGGGCUCUAGCUGCAGAGAAGGGGAUACACAACCUUAGGUAAGAGGGUGCACAUCCCAGCCAUUGGAUGUGGGGCUGGAGGAAGACAUUUGGCUGGGCUCCUACCGUGUAUACUAUUAUACUGUUAGGGUUAGUAAGAGACAGGUGGUGAUGAUGUUGUCAGUUAAGAAGAGCCAUCAUUUGCUUAGUAAAGUGUGGAAUUGUCCUGGGAGUGUAACUUGCUAAGUUAAUUUCACACCUAACUCCCACAGCUUGUCCACACCUAAUUUCAGGAUAUAUGUCAAAAGGUAAGAAUAAGUGUGAUAUACUGGUAUGUAAGUUACAUCAGUGGUCCCCAGCCUUUUUUGGCACCAGAAAUGGGUUUCCUGGAAGACAAUUUUUCCACAGAUGGCAGGGAGGAUAGUUUCAGGAUGAAAUUAUUCCACCUCAGAUCAUCAGGCAUUAGAUUCUCAUAACUGCAUGCAACCUAGAUCGCUCACAUAUGCAGUUCACAUUGGGGUUCGUACUCCUAUGAGAAUCGAAUGCUGCAGCUGAUCUGAUAGGAGGCGGAGCUCAGGUCAUAAUGCUUACUCAGCCACCACUCACCUCCUGAUGUGCAGCCUGGUUCCUCAGAGGCCACGGACAAUACCUGUCCAUGGCCCAGGGGUGGGGACCCCUGAGUUAUAUUAUAUAUACUAUUAAUAUCUGGCUGUACCAAACAGUAUUGUGAAAACAUUUAUAGUCCUGUUUGAGGAUCUUUUCUGAAGCUUUCCAUUUACAAAUAGAAAAGAAUAUUAAGGCCAGGCACGGUGGUUCAUACCUGUAAUCACAGCACAUUGAGAAGCUGAGGCAGGGGGUUCCUUUGAGCCCAGGAGUUUGAGACCACCGUGGGAAACAUGGCAAAACCCUCUGUGUACAAGAAAAUACUAAAAUACACCAGGUGUGGUGUCACAUGCCUGUGGUCUCAGGUACUUGGGAGGCUGAGGUGGGAGGAUCGCUUGAGCUCAGGAAGUUGAGGCUGCAGUGAGUUGUGAUUGCACUAGCCUGGGUAAUAGAGUGUCACCCUGUCUCAAAAAAAAAAAAAAAAAGAAUAUUGAAACAGAUACUGUGGUUUCUAUCUUUUUGGUCCUCUCAUAGCAAAAAUCAACAAAAGAAACUAAUGUAUAACCUAGCAAAAUACAGCAAGCACUAGGGAUUUUCUAUUUCAGUGCCUUAGGCAAUCUGACAGAUAACGUAGUUCAAAAAAAAUGUUUGCUGUACUGUGAAAUGUACAUUUAGAUAUGCAGACAGCCUCUUGACACAGACAUUGCUAUAGUGGUUUCUAGAAUAAUUUAAGACUUUUUGUUCUUGAUUAACAGUGAGAUGCCAUCUGCCUCAGUGUGUGCCCUAAGAAAUUAAAGAGAUGCCAAGAAGGAAAAGUAUUAAUGAGGAGUAUAAAAUUCUACUUUUAAAAAACAUCUUGGCUGGAUGUGGUGGCUCAUGCCUGUAAUCCCAGCACUUUGGGAGGCUGAGGCAGGUGGAUCGCCUGAAGUCAGGAGUUCGAGACCAUCCUGGCCAACAUGAUGAAAAUCCCGUCUCUACUAAAAAUACAAAAAAUUAGCUGGGCAUGGUGGUGCAUGUCUGUAAUCCCAGCUACUCGGGAGGUUGAGGCAGGAUAAUCGCUUGAACCCGGGAGAAUGAGGUUGCAGUGAGCUGAGAUCGUGCCAUUGCACUCCAGCCUGGGCAAUAAGAGUGAAACUCCAUCUCAAAAUAAUAAUAAUUAAUAAUAAUAAUAAUAAUAAUAAUAACCACGGAUUUUUGCAAGCCUACAGAGAAAAGGGAAUGCCUAUACACUCUUGGUAGGAAUGCAAAUUAGUUCAGCCACUGUGGAAAGCGGUUUGAAGAUUUCUCAAAAAACAGAACUAUGAUUAGACCCAGCAAUACCAUUACUGGGUGUAUACCCAAAAGAAAUAAAUUAUAAUUAUUCUACCCAAAGACACAUACACUAAUAUGUUCACAAUAGCAAAGACAUGGAAUCAACCUAGGUGCACAUCAAUGAUGAAUAGGACAAAGAAAAUGUGGCAUAUGUAUACCAUGGAAUACUAUGCAGCCAUAAAAAAGAAUGAAAUAAUGUUCUUUGUAGCAACAUGGAUGCAUCUGGAGGCCAUCAUCCCAAGCAACUUAACACAGAAACAGAAAACCAACUAUCACAGGUUCUCACUUAUAAGUGGGAAUUAAAUCUUGGGUACACACAGAUGUAAACAUGGGAACAAUAGACACUAGGGACUUCAAAGUAGGGAGGAGGGAACGGGGCAAGACCUGAGCAGCUUACUAUUAGGUACUAUGUUCGCUAUCCGGUUGAUGGGAUCAAUAGAAGCCCAAACUUAAGCACCAUGCUAUAUAUCCUUAUAACAAAUCUGCACAUGUACCCCUGAAUCUGAAAUAAUGAACAAAAUAAAAAUGUUUUAUUAGUCAACAACCUGUCAAUAUGACAUAAAAAUAAUUAUCAGGUUGGGCACAGUGGCUCAUAUCUGUAAACCCAGUGCUUUGAGAAGCCGAGGCAGGAGUAUCACUUGAGGCCAGGAGUUCAAGGCCGGCGUAGUCAACAUAGCAAGACCCAAUUUUUACUAGAAAGAAAAAAAAGUUAAGAAAAUACUCAAAAUCAAAAGCAAUCACCUUUCUUACUCCUUCUUCUGUCUUCAUUCCUACACCAGUCUUAUUUUUCUAAAUGACAAUAAUUAUCAAUAUUUAUUAAGAUUGUGAAAUUCUAGUACUUUUCAAUAAUAAAUAUCAACUGAUUGCAUUGUUUUUAAAAUCAAUAUUUCAGAAACAAAUCAAUAUUUCACAUGGCUAUAAAAGCACAAAACAUUGAUUAAAGUUUAAUAAAAACAUGAAAAUAAAUUAUUUCAAAUAAAUAUAAAGUUAAUAUAAUUUAAUUGAAGGAAAAACUACUUGAAAAUAAUUAAGGUUGUUCAGAUUCAAAUCAACAAAUUCCAUGAUCAACAAUUUAAAAUAUUAAGGUCUGGUAAGUGAUAGAAUUAAUACCUAAAUAUGCCUAAAUGACAACAUUGCUAACUGAUGUUUUUGUUUGUUUAUUUAUUUAUUUUUAAGAUGGAAUCUUGCUCUAUCAUCCAGGCUGGAUUGCAGUGGCACAAUCUCAGCUCACUCCAAACUCUGCCUCCCACGUUCAAGCGAUUCUCCUGUCUCAGUGUCCUGAGUAGCUGGGAUUACAGGCGAGCGCCGCCACGCCUGGCUAAUUUUGUAUUUUCAGUAGUGACGGGGUUUCGCAAUGUUGACCAGGCUGUUCUCAAACUCCUGACCUCAGGUAAUCUGCCCACCUCAGCCUCCCAAAGUGCUGGGAUUACAGGCGUGAGCCCCCACGCCUGAUGUUAUUUAAUUUUUAUUUUAAAGAACAAUCCCUAAGCAAUUCAUGGUGCUAAGUACGAAUAAGUAAAAAAUAAAGCACAUAACUUUCUUUUUCUGCAGGACUUCAUAAUUUAGUUGGGAUGACAAGAUUAAAAAUAAUAGUGAUAAACCCUAUGAUAGGAGGAAAAAAUGGAACUAAAGGAAGGAGUGUGGAGGAAUAAGGUCUCUAUUUUAAUUUAUGAGUUUUGCAGCCACUUUGUAGACAUGACACUUGAAUUUUAAAUAAGUUAAAAGGAAAAAACAUUGACAACUUCCAAACCUUUCUCUCUCACCCAACUUUAUUCAUAUGUAUUAUUUCUAUUAAUGAUUAUCAUAAGAGAAAUUAGGACUUCUAAAUUAGUAAAUAUUGGCAGGGUGCGGUGGCUCACAUCUGUGAUCCCAGCAUUUGGGGAGGCCGAAGUGGGUGGAUCACAAGGUCAAGAGAUCAAGACCAUCCUGGCCAACAUGGUGAAACCCCAUCUCUACUAAAAAUACAAAAAAAAAAAAAAAAAAAAAAAAAAUUAGCCAGGCGUGGUGGUGGGCGCCUGUAGUCCCAGCUACUCGGGAGGCUGAGGCCAGAGAAUCACUUGAACCCAGGAGGUGGAGGUUGCAGUGAGCCAAGGUCGCACCACUGCACUCCAGCCUGGAGACAGAGCAAGAUUCCACUUCAAAAAAAAAAUUAGUAAUAUGUUUACAAAUAAUAAAUUCAGUUCAUGCUAACAAAAUAGUAUUUUAAAAUAAAACAAGUCUCCAAACAGUUUGAAGAGUUGCAAUGUUCUUACAUUUUUGCAAAAUGUCUGGCUUAACUGAAGACAGCUUGAUACUCAUAUCUGCUUCUGAAUUCAAUCUGUUGCAAUAUGUUGUUUUGACUAAGUGUGUGAAGAAAAUAGUGCCCCACACAGACAUGAAAUUGUAGAAAGGAAGAAUAAUUUAAAAGAAUUUUUGGACGAGGUGUAGUGGCACACACCUGUAAUCCCAGCACUUUCAGAGGCUGAGGCGGGCGGAUCACUUGAGGUCAGGAGUUCGAGACCAGCCUGGCCAACAUGGUGAAACCCCGUCUCUACUAAAAAUACAAAAAUUAGCCAUCGUGGUGGUGAGUGCCUGUAAUCCCAGCUAUUUGGGAGGCGGAGGCAGGAGAAUCGCUUGAACCCAGGAGGUGGAGGUUGCAGUGAGCCAAGAUUGUGUCCAGCCUGGUGAUAGAGUGAAACUCCAUCUCAAAAAAAAAAAAAAAAAAAUUAAGUAUUUUUGGCCAACUAUUGUUCUUCUUCUUUGAUCUUCAAACAAAUGCUUUAUUCAGGUUAUUGCAAUGGGAGGCAUGACACCACAUCAUAUGCUUUUUCUGCUAUAUCACAUUAAAACCUAUAGGUCUAUUUUCAAUGUUAAUGGGUCUUUUACCAAUCAUGAUUUUUAUCAUAUUGGCAUGGCCAUUGGGAAAAUAUUGGUUCAUCGAAUAAUGCAGAUGUUCCAAAUAUUGAUACACUUUACUAUAAAAUAUUUUGAAAUUCAGUAAUAUUACCCUUGAUCUCCUCAGAAAAAUCCGUAAGUUUUGAAAAAAUUAUCGUGUUCAAGAAUGCAGAUACGUUUUCCAUAUUUCAAUUUUCACUUGAAAACUUUUUACAUUUUCAGUAACAGCUCAGUUAUUUUUCUUUAAGACAAUCUCACUUUUUUUGUUUUUUCAGACAAGGUCUUGCUCCGUUGCCCAGGCUGGAGUGCAGUGGUGCAAUCAUAGCUCACUGCAACCUCUGCCUCCCGGGGCCAAGUGAUCCUCCCGCCUCAGCCUCCCCGGUAGUAGACUGUGGGCAGCAAGCCACCCAGGUGCCGAGGCAAGAGACUGAGGGCAUGAGCUGUUCCAGUGUAAUAAAGAAAAUAUAUAGAAUAAGAAUACUUGUGCUAGAAAUAUAAUAUAGAUGAUGAUAUGUGAAUAUUAAUAAUCAUUAGUUUGUAGCAUUACUCUUUAUUCCAAUAUCAUAAUAAUCUCUGUUCUACAACUAUAACCUAGGAAAAACCAGGCCAUACAGAGAUAGGAGCUGAAGGGACACGGUGAGAAGCGACCAGGAGACAAGAGUGCGAGCCCUCUGUCACGCCUGGACAUGGCCACCAGAGGGCUCCCUGGUCUAGCGGUAACGCCAGCGCCUGGGAAGACGCCCGUUACUUAGCAGACCUUGGUCUAGCGGUAGCGCUAGUGCCUGGGAAGGCACCGGUUACUUAGCAGACCAGGAAAGGGAGUCUCCCUUUCCCCGGGGAGUUAGAGAAGACUCUGCUCCACCACCUCUUGUGGAAGUCGACAUCAGUCAAGCUCGCCUGCAGCCAUCCGGAGGCCUGUCUCCCUGUGAUGCUGUGCUUCAGCGGUCACGCUCCUGGUCUGCUUUCAUGUUCCGCCCUGUACACCGGGCUCGGCCUUCUAGAUAGCAGUAGCAGAAUUGGUGAAAGUACUAAAAGUCUUUGAAAUGCAUAGAAGAAAUAACGGCAUAAGCUGUCCUCUCUCUCUCUCCGCCUCGGCUGCCAAACAAGGAAGGGCCCCCGACUGGUGGACACGAGAUCCACGUGACCUUACCUGUCACUGGAGAUGACUCACACUCCUUAUCCUGCCCUCUUGCCUUUUAUCCAAUAAAUAACAGCGCAUCCAGGCAUUCAGGGCCACUACCAGUCUCCACGUCUUGGUGGUAGUGGUCCCCCGAGCCCAACUGUCUUUUCUUCUAUCUCUUUGUCUUGUGUCUUUAUUUCUACGAUCUCUCAUCUCUGCACAUGGGGAUGAAAACCCACAGACCCUGUAGGGCUCAUCCCUACAGUAGACUACAGGCUUACAUCAUCACCCCUGGCUAAUAUUUUUUGUAGAGAUGGGGUUUCACCAUGUUGCUCUAACUGGUCUCAAACUCUUGAGCUCCAAAAGUGCUGGGAUUACAGGCGUGAGCCACUGCACCCUGUCACACUUUGUUCAUUUUUAAGUAAUAAGUGCUCUAUGAGUUCUUACCAUUUUAUCAAAUAGAAUACUGAAAAGACAUACUUGGGGAUCUAGAUUUAAUGAAAAUUAUAUUUUUUACUGCUUCAUCAAGGAUAUUCUUAAGCAACAUGAAAAUAAAAUUGGCAUGUUUACUUAUUUAGGCAACGAUGUGACUGUAAAUAAUAGAACUGCUGCUAUUGUUUGGAGCCACUGUCUUGUUUUGUGCUACGGUUUUACUUACUACUGCAUUUGCACCAAAGCAGAGAAACAAAAACAAGCAAAAAGGACAAGUAACAUAUGGGUAUUAUGAUAGAAAGUCUUAUUUUCAUGGAGCACUCUGAGAUUCACUAUUCCAGGUAUAGUCCUCUCCCAGACCCAUCACACCUGUUCUGUCACAAAGUUUUAUUAAUUUCUACUUCUUAAGUAUUCUUCUACUUACUGCUUCCUCUCCACAACUUUAUGACUCAGUGAAACCCUCACUCUCUCUCACCUGAAAUAUUUCCAUUUUCCAUCAUGUUCCCAUCAGCCUGCACUCCUCGACACAGUGAAACCUUCACUCUCUCUCACCUGAAAUAUUUCCAUUUUCUAUCAUGUUCCCAUCAGCCUGCACUCCCCGACUCAGUGAAACCCUCCCUCUCUCUCAUCCGAAAUAUUUCCAUUUUCCAUGUUUCCUACAGCCUGCACUCGUCGGCUCAGUGAAAUCCUCACUCUCUCACCUGAAAUAUUUCCAUUUUCCAUCAUGUUUCCAUCAGCCUGUACUCCCCAACUCAGUGAAACCCUCCCUCUCUCUCACCUGAAAUAUUUCCAUUUUCCAUCAUGUUUCCAUCAGCCUGCUCUCCUCGACUCAGUGAAACCCUCCCUCUCUUUCAUCUGAAAUAUUUCCAUUUUCCAUCAUGUUUCCAUCAGCCUGAACUCCUCUUACUUCCCGUUAUCUUGUUCGCUUCCAGACAUAUCUCUAAACAGGUAACUGUGUUCCUCAAGGACUUAAAAGCAUUUAACAACAGCUUAAAACUUAGGUUCUCACUCUUUAGCAAGGACUUGAAGACUUUUAAUGAUUCAGCUCCUGCUCACAAAUCUAACCUCAUUUUUUCCCACAUCAACCUUGAACAGAAGCUAAGUUCCACUCAUAUACAAAGUCUUUCAAUUUUCCUGAAUAAAAAAGAUUAUGUAGCUGUCACCCAUAAUCUGACUCCAGAACUCUGUUUCUGCACCUUCCUGUCAAACUCAUUAUUAAAGUCUCCGUAUUAGUCUGUUCUCAUGCUGCUAAUAUGGACAUGACCAAGGCUGGGUAAUUUAUAAAGAAAAAUAAGUUUAAUGGACUCACAGUUCCACGUGGCUGGGGAGACCUCACAAUCAUGGCCGAAGGCAAAGGUCAGGUCUUACAUGGCAGCAGACAAGAGACAGCAUAUGCAGGGGAACUUCCCUCCAUACAACCAUCAGAUCUCAUGAGACUUAUUCACUAUCAUAAGAACAACACAGUCCUCAUGAUUCAAUUACCUCCCACCAGGUCCCUCCCACAAUAUGUGGGAAUUAUGGGAAUAACAAUUCGAGAUUUGGGUGAGGACACAGCCAAACCGUAUCAGUCUCAUAAUAAGGACCAAAGGCCAAGCCUUCCCUAAGUCGUCCUUAAGAGACUCAUGCAGAUUUCAUAAUUUACUCCCAGUUGGGCCUUUUCUCAAGACCUUGACAUUUUGAUCUGGACUCAGAUGACUUUGUGGCUCAUUAUGAAAUCCAUUUGUGUUCUUAAACUGGACUCAGUAAGAUAGCUACUCAUUCAUCAAUUUGUGUCAUUAUUUAUUAAUUCUUUGCGUAACUGGACUUCAAAAUAGGAUUUUAAAAAAGGUUUUGACCGUGUGCUCUUCACAAUGUAGAUCACUAGGCGUUUGUUAUGUGAUUCUUUCUUCCCUAUCAUUUGGGAGAAAAUAGGAUUGGGCUGUGUGCCCUGAGAGGGAGGGCACAUUUAGAUAUUUUAGGAGUUGUAAAUAGAAGACCAAAUGUCAGAGAGAGAGAGAGACUUUGCUUCACCUGUAGUUGAAAUGGUUAGUUAGGACAGGUGCAGUGGCUCAUGCCUGUAAUUCCAGCACUUUGGGAGGUUGAGGCAGGUGGAUCACUUGGGCUCAUGAGUUCAAGACAAGCCUGAGCAACAUGGUGAAACCCUGUCUACAAAAAGUAGAAAAACUAGUCAGGCAUGGUGAUGCAUGGUAUUAUGAGGUUGCACUUCACUGAAAAACCAAAGUUGUUUAGCACUUCCAUGUGAACCACACCAUCUCACAAGUAUGAGGUGUAGCAGAAGUCCAGUCCCAAGGACACAAAGAAGACACACCAUGUUAAUGGAAUGACAUACUGCAGUGUAUCUAGAUAAACGAUCCUGGGCCUUGAUGAGAGAGAUAGAUGCAGUCUUGAAGGAACUGAUUAUGCAGUGAUUCUGCAUUUAAGUAUUUGACCUAAUUUUAAUAACAAAAAUGUAUGCACCUUUCAUUUUCAAAGUACAGUUGUUCCUCAGUAUCCGUGGGAAAUCAGCUCCAGAAUACCCCCCCAGAUACCAAAAACCACUGAUGCUCAAGUCUUAUAUAAAAUGGUGUAUUUGCAUAUAACCCAUGCUUAUCCUUCCAUAUGCAGUCAUGUGCCUUAUAAUGCCCUUUUAAUCAAUAAUGAACCAUGUAUAUUACCAUGGUCCCCUAAGAUUAUAAACACAUAUAGAAACCUUCUUGUGGGAAGUCAGAGACCCUGAAUGGAGGGACUGGCUGGAACCAUGGCAGAAGAACAUAAAUUGUGAAGAUUUCAUGGACAUUUAUUAGUUCCCAAAAUUAAUACUUUUAUAAUUUCUUAUGCCUGUCUUACUUUAAUCUUCUAAUCCCGUCAUCUUUGUAAGCUGAGGAUGUAUAUUGCCUCAAGACCCCGUGAUGAUUGCGUUAACUGUACAAAUUGUUUGUAAAACAUGUUUGUUCAAACAAUAUCAAAUCUGAUUGUAAAACAUGAGUGUUUGAACAAUGUGAAAUCAGUGCACCCUGAAAAAGAACAGAAUAACAGCGAUUUUCAGGGAAUGAGGGAAGAUAACCAUAAGAUCUUACUGCCUGCAGGGUUGGGCAGAAUACAGCCAUAUUUUUAUUCUUGCAGAGAGCCUACAGAUGGACGUGUGAGUAAGAGAAUAUCACUGAAUUCUUUUCCCAGCAAGGAAUGCUAAUAAUUAAUACCCUGGGAAAGGAAUGCAUUCCUGGGGGUAGGUCUAUAGACAGCCGCUCUGGGAUCGUCUGUCUUAUGCAGUUGAAAUAAGGACUGAAAUACACCCUGGUCUCCUGCAGUACCCUCAGGCUUGUUAGGAUUGGGAAAUUCCAGCCUGGUGAAUUCUAGUCAGACUGGUUCUCUGCUCUUGAAACUUCUUUCCUGUUAAGAUGUUUAUCAAGACAAUGUGUGCACCGCAGGACACAGACCCUCAUCAGGGGUUCUAAUUUUGUCUUUGCCUUUUGAUCUUUAUGGCCUUUUGAAGCAUGUGAUCCUUGUGACCUACUCCCUGUUCGUACACCCCCUCCCCUUUCAAAAUCCCUAAUAAAAACUGGCUGGUUUUGCAGCUCAAGGUCGCCAUCAUGGUCCUACCAAAGUGAUGGCACCACCAGAAGGCCAGCUGUAAAAUUUCUCUCUUUGUACUCUUUAUUCCUCAGACCAGCCAACACUUAGGGAAACUAGAAAGAACCUACGUUGAAAUGGUGGGGGCUGGUUCCCCCAUAAAACCUGACAUGUGGGACUUGAUACUAUCACUGCAGAUCAAGUAGAGAAAGUGACUGAUAUUCAGUGAUGGUGCUAGAACAUAUGGUUUCUCAUAUGAAAAAAUAUAAAUAUAUAUACCAUCUAGGGUUAUGUAAGAACAUUUUAUGAUGUUCACAAAAUAAAAAUAUUGCUUAGUAAUGCAUGUCUCAGAACAUACACAUGUCAUUAAGCCAUGCAUGACUGUACUUUAUAUCACCUCUGGAACACUUCGGUCAAUCAAGAAAAAUGACCGAGAAAAAUCUCAAUCAUUUUAGGAGGUUUAUUUGCCAACAUUAAGGACACACACCCAGGAGACAGUCUAUGCCUUUCUUCAAAAAUGAUUUUGAGGGCUCCAAAUUUAAAGGGGAAAGGGUGAAAUAUUGAGAAAUACAGUUUUCAUGUAAGACUGAGGUAGGGGGAAAACAUUCAUUGAUACGGUUUGGCUCUGUGUCCCCACCCAAAUCUCACCAUAAAUUGUAAUAAUCCCCAUAUUCAAGGGUGGGACCAGGUGGAAGUAACUGGAUCAUGGGGGCAGUUUCCUCUAGGCUGUUCUCAUGAUAGUGAGUCACAUGAGAUCUGAUGGUUUUAUAAGUGUCUGGCAUUUCCCCUGCUUGCACUCAUUGCCUCUCCUGCCACCCUGUGAAGAGGUGCUCUCUGCGAUUAUUGUAAGUUUCCUGAGGCCUCCCCAGCCGUGCAGAGUUGUGAAUCAAUUAAACCUCUUUCCUUCAUAAAUGACCCAGUCUUGAGUAUUUCUUCAGAGCAGUAUGAGAACAGACUGAUACAGUCAUUCAUGCCUUUGGCUCAGUGAAUCUGCAUUUGUACAUAACAUAGACAAACAGGGAGGAGAACAAUCAGAUAUGCAUUUGUCUCAGGUGGGCAGAGGGGUGACUCUGAGUUCUGUCCUAUGCACUGUAAAGAUGAGCUAUCAGACCAGGCGUGGCAGCUCACAUCUGUAAUCCCAGCACUCUAAGAAGCUGAGGUGGGUGGAUCACCUGAUGUCAGGAGUUCGAGACCAGCCUGACCAACAUGGAGAAACCCCGUCUCUACUAAAAAUACAAAAUUAGCCAAGUGUGGUGGUGCAUGCCUGUAAUCCCAAAUACUCAGGAGGCUGAGGCAGGAGAAUCACUUGAAACCAGGAGGCAGAGGUUGCAGUGAGCCGAGAUCGUGCCAUUGCACUCCAGCCUGGGUGACAAUAGCGAAACUCCAUCUAGGAAAAAAAAAAAAAAAGGAUAAGCUAUCAAUUUACAUUGCCAUAAUUAAUUUUAACGAAAUACUUUAAAGAUCUUAAAGCACACCAGAAAUUUCCUUGUGGGAAAAAUAUGAGGGAGGGGGAUACAAGAUAAAAAGCUUUUUAUCUUGGAGCCAUCUUAUUUAGGAACCAAAAGAAGGAGGCAGGUUUGCAUGACCGAGUUCCCAGCUUGACUUUUCCCUUUAGCUUAAUGAGUUUGGAGUCCCAAGAUUUAUUUUCCUUUCACAUUUAGAAGACCAAAUACAAUAUGGAUGUAAACAGUGGUGUUGUUUAGGAAAGAAUGACAAGAAAAAGUCUGAAUAUGUUCACUACAGAUGCAAGCGUCUGAUUUUAUUUCAAAUAUUUUGCAUCCAAGUUUAUUUACGUACACAGAUAUUAAACCUACAGAUACAAAAAGCUGAGUGUACUUACAUAUUAAUAGCUGUACACAGGCAGCAUAAAAUUCUGUUUGUACAUGCCAGAAACAUUCUGUGUCCACCCAGGGUGAACACAGCCACUUCACAAACAGGGUGUAAAUACGGAGGUUCACUAAGUACAGGAAAGUUACAUGACCAUAUUGGCAUUUUAACAGCCAUUCCUGAGAAAGAGAAUGGGAAAGGGCUUAAGAGUCAGAGGAGUGGAAAAGAGGAAGACAGAUGACCUCCUACAUCAGAAGAUGGAGCAGUGAGAAUACAGAAUAGGGAAGCAAUAGUUAAAAGGAAAAAAAGUAGAAGCAGGAUUUGAUGUCAAUUUGCUGUGCAGAGGGUAAAAAGGGGAGUUUUAUUUCCAGGCUAUCUGCCAUGAUCACAGCUAGUUUGUUACUGGUGAUGUGAAAUUUGGAAAAAUAAAAGAACAAUAUGAUGGCCAGAAGUGAUACAGACUUGGACACAGCAUGUUUGAAAUAUCUGAGGUCCCAUAUGUAGGGAUGUCCAACUGGCAAUUGGGAAUACAGUUCCAGAGUUCACAAGGGAGAUCAAAGCUGGAGAUAAAGAUUUUGAAACUAUCAGAAUUUCAAUGGUACCUGAAUCCAUCAGACCAAAUGAACCUAAGAGAAUGAAAGGAUAAAAAGGAACAAGUACAGAAUCCACAGAAACACUAAUAUUUACAGAAAGGAAUAGACUGUUAAGACCAAGAAGGAACAUUCUGAGUUUAUUUCACAUAUUAAGAAAAGCUCAAUAUUAGAAAGUCUACUAAUACAAUUCAUCACAUUCAGAGUCCUGAGGAGAAAAAUCUUUAAUUGUCCACAUAGGCAUUAAGAAGAUAAGUCUUAGAUUCCAGGUUCUGAUUUCUGCAUGUAAGAAGCUUAGAAGUGGCCAGGUGCAGUGGCUCAUGCCUGUAAUCCCAACACUUUCGGAGACUGAGGUGGGCAGAUCACCUGAAGUCAGAAGUUCAAGACCACCCUGGCCAAUAUGGCAAAACCCCAUCUCUACUAAAAAUACAAAAAUUAGGCUGGGUGCGGAGGCUCACACCUGUAACUCCAGCACUUUGGGAGCUUCAGGUGGGUGGAUCACCUGAAGUCAGGAGUUUGAGACCAACCUGGCCCACAUGGCAAAACCCCAUCUCUACUAAAAAUACAAAUAUUACCGAAGUGUGGUGGUGUGUGCCAGUAGUACUAGCUACUUGGGAGGCAGAAGCAGAAGAAUUGCUUCAACCUCGGAGGUGGAGGUUGCAGUGAGCCAAGAUCAUGCCACUGCACUACAGCCUGGAUGACAGAGUGAGCUGCUUCAAAAAAUUAAAAAAUAAAAUAAUAAUAAUACAAAAAUUAGCCAGCAUGGUGGUGGGUGCCUGUAAUCCCAGCUACUCAGGAGGCUGAGGCAGGGAGAAUCAUUUGAACCUGGGAGCCAGAUGUUGCAGUGAGCUGAGAUUGCACCACUGCACUCCAGCCUGAGCAACAAAGUGAGACUCCAUCUCAAAAAAAGGAAAAAAAAAAAAAAAAAGAA